rnacentral:rRNA from 1 species
GCAUAUCAAUAAGCGGAGGAAAAGAAACCAACAGGGAUUGCCUUAGUAACGGCGAGUGAAGCGGCAACAGCUCAAAUUUGAAAGCUGGCUCCGGCCCGCAUUGUAAUUUGCAGAGGAUGCUUCUGGCGAGGUGCCUUCCGAGUUCCCUGGAACGGGACGCCAUAGAGGGUGAGAGCCCCGUAUGGAUGGACACCAAGCCUGUGUGAAGCUCCUUCAACGAGUCGAGUAGUUUGGGAAUGCUGCUCAAAAUGGGAGGUAAAUCUCUUCUAAAGCUAAAUACCGGCCAGAGACCGAUAGCGCACAAGUAGAGUGAUCGAAAGAUGAAAAGCACCUUGAAAAGGGGGUUAAACAGUACGUGAAAUUGUUGAAAGGGAAGCGCUUGUGACCAGACUUGCGCCGGGCGGCUCAUCAGGGGUUCUCCCCUGUGCACUCCGCCCGGCUCAGGCCAGCAUCGGUUCUCGUGGGAGGAUAAGAACGGUGGGAACGUGGCCCCCCUCCGGGGGGGUGUUAUAGCCCACCGUACGAUACUCUCGUGGGGACCGAGGUUCGCGCUCCGCAAGGAUGCUGGCGUAAUGGUCAUCAGCGACCCGUCUUGAAACACGGACC